AACGAAUGGUUCACGGCUCCUGGUAGCCUU
rnacentral:sRNA from 1 species